rnacentral:piRNA from 1 species
UCUGAUGUGUAAUGUAUAGCUAGG